GUCGAGAAUUUUUCACAAUGGGGGAAACCCUGAUGGAGCGACGCCGCGUGGGGGAUGAAUGGCUUCGGCCCGUAAACCCCUGUCAUUUGCGACCAACCCGCGUUAUUUAAAAGAUGGCGCGCUGAUGGUAGCGGAAGAGGAAGGGACGGCUAACUCUGUGCCAGCAGCCGCGGUAAUACAGAGGUCCCGAGCGUUGUUCGGAUUCACUGGGCGUAAAGGGUGCGUAGGUGGCGAGGCAAGUCGGAUGUGAAAUCUCGGAGCUCAACUCCGGAACUGCAUUGGAAACUGCCUGGCUGGAGGGUCGGAGGGGGGACUGGAAUUCUCGGUGUAGCAGUGAAAUGCGUAGAUAUCGAGAGGAACACCCGUGGCGAAGGCGAGUCCCUGGACGACACCUGACACUGAGGCACGAAAGCUAGGGGAGCAAACAGGAUUAGAAACCCCUGUAGUCC
rnacentral:rRNA from 1 species